ACUGUCUUGGCAGAAUAGUGCAAUAGAUUUAGAAUCUAAGAAUGUAAUAGUUAUUACAGGUAGUA
rnacentral:tRNA from 1 species